rnacentral:rRNA from 1 species
AUUGAACGCUGGCGGCAUGCCUUACACAUGCAAGUCGAACGGUAAAAGGUCUUCGGAUGCUGACGAGUGGCGAACGGGUGAGUAAUACAUCGGAACGUGCCUAGAAGUGGGGGAUAACUACUCGAAAGCGUGGCUAAUACCGCAUGAGAUCUACGGUUGAUACGAGGGGAUCGCUCGCCAUUGUGCUCACAGAUCGGCCGAUGGCAGAUUAGGAAGUUGGGGGGGUACAAGCUGACCAAGCCGACGAUCUGUAGCAGGUUUGAGGGGACGAUCAGCCACACUGGGACUAGGACACGGCCCAGACUCCUACGGGAGGCAUCAGAGGGAAAUUUUGGACAAUGGGCGCAAGCCUGAGCCAGCAAUGCCGCGUGGAGGAUGAAGGACUUCGGGUUGUAAACUGCUUUUGUACGGAACGAAAAGCCCUGGUUUAAUACCCUGGGGUCAUGACGGUACCGUAAGAAUAAGCACCGGCUAACUACGUGCCAGCCGCCGCCGUAACAC